rnacentral:lncRNA from 1 species
UUUUUUAGGGCCGCACCUGCAGCAUAUGGAAAUUCCCAAGGUGGGGGUCGAAUUAGCCAGCCUACACCACAGCCAUAGCGACACCAGAUCCGAGCUACAUCUGCAACCUACUCAGCAGCUUGUGGCAACAUCGGAUCCUUAACCCACUGAGCAAGGCCAGGGAAUGAACCCGAAUCCUCAUGGAUACUAGUAGGUUUGUAACCUGCUGAGCAACAGCGGGAACUCCUGGUCAUUUGCUUUUAGCCUCCCACCUGAGAUAACAGCAAUGGCAAUUGCCCUCCCCUGGGAGGGUCUCCAGCAUGCCCUGUCGGGUCUUGGAUGGUGAUACCAGACCAAGUCCCUGUGUCCCUGAAACUAAUACUAGAUUUUCUAGUUGAUUUUAGAAGGAGGGGAAGCCCCAGUGUCAGGAAAUGGGGCUGGAUAGAAAUGGAAGGUGGGGGCAGGGGGACCUAUUAGCAUAAUGUCCGGGGCAGCUGGGACAGCCAGCUCAACAGAGGAGUCAAGAUGGAAGUAACAUGUCCUCACUCUCGUUUCUUCCUUUUCUUAUUUUCCCUGAUGUAAUAGCACGAAGUGCUUGCACAUAAAGGAUUUCAUCAUUCUUCCCUGCUUCACAAAAUAGCUAUAGAGUUGGUCAAAAGCCACUGUAAAACCAUAUAUGGCAAUUGAUUGUCUCUAACCAUUAAAAAGGACGAUUUUUCCUUGGGCAUCAACCAACAGGGAUUACAAUGCAAUUGAAAAGAAACUUGGUUACUUCUGUGCCACAGAACAAUUUAAGAUAAUUAUUAAAAUUGUGACUAAUAGCAUUUACCAGGAUAUACCAUAAUUUUAGAAGUUCUACAUAAUUUCUAGAAUGUGUAUAUUUAUAACAUUUAACCAUAUAAUACAAUCCAAGAGGUUUUAUCAGGAUUUCCUGUUGUGGCUCAGUGGUUAAGGAACCCAACUAGUAUCCAUGAGGACGAGGGUUCGAUCCCUGACCUUGCUCAGCAGGCCAGGAAUCGAACCUGCACCUUCAUGUAUCCUGGUUGGGUUCAUUACCACUGAGCCACAAUAGGAAUACCCUAUCUUAGAUAAUCUUGACCGUGCACAAAAUUCUUUCAGUGUUCCUCCUCCACAAAACCUUCCACAAUUUUCUGUAUCAAUAUUGAUCUGUCCCUCAUAUUCAUUUCUAUUGAGAAACAACUAGUUCCAGGACAAAACCACUUUUUUUUUUCCUUUAAUAAAAUGCAUUUUUAUUCUCAUACUUUCUUUGUUGAAAAAACACAAUCUGAUAUAUCGGCAUAACCGGAAUAUUUCCCUUAUGAUUCUUAAUCUCAAAACAUUAAUCCCUAGUGAAAACCAAGCAAAUAAUUGUAAACUGUCAGACCAGUGUUUCUGGAUUGAUGCCUUAGCAUUAAUCUGGAUUAUGCCUUAGCAUUCCCCUCCUAAGAGGACAAACGUAGAUAAAUUAGACCUGCCCAGCAGUUAAAUGUUCUAGUAUUUUACCCUAUUCAAAGUGACCCAGAUAGUCAAUCAAUUCUCUUCAUUUAACUUAGUUUCAAGUUACAAAAAUCUGGAGAGACUAUUUUAGAUAGACAUUCCCAAAGCAUAGUUCUUCCUAUAGAGUUUGCCUAAAACUCUUUAUCUCAUUUGCCUUUCUUUACUUAAAAUCUUUGUCAUGUUAUUUUUCUUGUUAACAAACUUUAUAACAGGAACAAGGUCUUAUUUGAUUUCUAGUAGACCUAGGUAAUAAUAAAAGUUGUUUGUUUUUUUGUCUUUUUAGGGCCACACCCAUGGUAUAUGGAGGUUCCCAGGCUAGGAGUCCAAUUGCAGCCACAGCUGUCAGCCUACCCCACAGCCACAGCAACACAGGAUCCAAGCCAAGUCUGUGACCUACACCAUAGCUCACGGUGACACUGGAUCCUUAACCCACUGAGCAAGGCCAGGGUUUGAACCUGCUUCCUCAUGGAUGUUAGUCAGAUUCGUUUCCACUGUGCCAUGAUGGGAAAUCCGCAAUAAAAGUAUUACACUUAAUAUUGUUGAUGGGUCUAAAGACAUGUCUACUAAUCAUACCAACAAGCUUAUCUAACAUUAAUAGCAGAUAUUAAUUCGAUAGGAAUGUUUCCUAAAUCAUGUCGACCUGAAAUUUGUUCUAGCCAGUGUCUUUUAUAUUUGAGUAUUUGUAUAAGUGCUUGACUUCCUUUAAGCCAUUUAAAUAGAACUCUUUCACAGAUUAAUUUUGUUGGUGAUGCCACACAUCUAUGACACACCUACAAACAAAAACACAGGGGCCUCUUAGUUCCCAUUCUAAAAUUUCAGCCAUGAAUCAGGUACAACAGUAUAAAAGCACAAAUCGAAGUCAACUGUCUCAAUGGCUAAACCCUUUUUACUAACAUUUACGGAAAAACACACUUCUCUUUGUAGCUUUUGGUGACUUUAGGAACAAAGAGAAAGCUCUUUCUUCCUGGGGAUGUUGACUCUUGUACAAGUUUUUUGUUUUGGGGUUUUUUUCUAUUCCUUUCCUUAUUUGACAUUAGUAAAAGUUUUAAAUAUCACAAACCUGAUUUGGCUGUAAAUGGAGAAAGAGUGUCAAAGAAAAUGAAGUGAAAACCCAAAAGACAAACGGAAAAGCCUAAAUAAACCAUCAUGUUUGGUCUUGGGGUUUUACAUAUACCAACAACAUAGGAGCCCAUAAAUGAUGUAAUUAGCACAGCAAGGUGCACAGGAUCCCAGGAUAAGCCCGCCUACACCACUUGUGGAGAUCCUAAUGGGUACUAUAGCACACAUUGUUUUGGGGGUUUGGGGGGGUUUUUUUCUUUUGUUUUUAGUGCCAUACCCAAGGCAUAUGGAAGUUCCCAGGCUAUGGAUCAAAGCAGAGCUACAGCUGCCGGCCUACACCCCAGCCACAGCAACGUGGGAUCCGAGCCACGUCUGCAACUGACACCAUAGCUCAUGGCAACGCCAGAUCCUUAACCCACUGAUCGAGGCCAGGAAUGGAAUCCGCAUCCUCAUGGAUCCUAGUCAGGUUUGUUAACCCCUGAGCCACAAAGGGAACUCCAGCACACAUUGUUAACAAUAAAAUAUUACCUUUUCCUCACCCAUGCGUUCAUAGCUAUAAUCAAAUCACUUAUACAAAAUGUACUUCAGAGGACUUUCUUUAGGGAUAGUUAAAACAUUCCCCACUUUUUCUUCUUUCUAUGGCCACACCUGUGGCAUACGGAAGGUCCCGAGCCAGGGAUCAAAUCCAAGCUGCAGCUGGAGCCUAUGCCACAGCCAUGGCAACACAGGACCUAAGCCUCAUCUGCAAACUAGGCCACAGUUUGUGACAACACCAGAUCCUUAACCCCACUGAGUGAGGCCAGGGAUCGAACUUAUAUCUUCAGAGAGAUAUUGGGUCCUUAACCCACCGAGCCACAAUUGGAACUCUCAAAGUAUUCCCCAUUUUUAAAGAUAGAAAUUCAACACAAGCAAAACACAAACUGCACACACAAAUGCUAACAUCCCAAGAAAAAAACAAACCAGUUCACAAAUCAAAGUUCAGCAACUCUUUCCUCUCUCAACAGGGUAAUUUACUCAAAUACCACACAAACUGGUUUAUUUCAGAGAAAUAGCCCCACACCAAGAGGAAAUAAAGUUCUCAGCUUCACAUACUGGAGGACUUACCCUACUGUAUGGAGUCCAUCAGCUCCCCAAAAGUUGACUCCUUUUUCCAACUGCGAAGCCCUUGGGCAGCCAGUGCUACUUUGGGGAAUUCUGAAAGGAAGCUCCUCAGGACAAGGGGUCCUGGCAGCCGCUAGGACCUAAUCCAAGAAUUUUCCAACCGGGCCAGCUAGCCCCGAGUAGCAGGCCUUCCAGAUGGAUGCACCAGUAUUUGUUAUCAAGUCCAAACCCCUGCUGCUCGCCACACGACAGGCCAAUAUUUUCAGAGCUGG